rnacentral:rRNA from 1 species
CCUACGGGAGGCAGCAGUAGGGAAUAUUGCUCAAUGGGGGAAACCCUGAAGCAGCAACGCCGCGUGGAUGAUGAAGGUUUUCGGAUUGUAAACUACUUUUGUCAGAGAAGAUAAUGAUGGUAUCAAACGCAUAAGCACCGGCUAACUCCGUGCGAGCAGCCACGGUAAUACGGAGGGUGCAAGCGUUACUCGGAAUCACUGGGCGUAAAGAGCGCGUAGGCGGGAUAGCAAGUCAGAUGUGAAAUCCUAUGGCUUAACCAGAGAACUGCAUUUGAAACUGUUAUGCUAGAGUAUGGGAGAGGUAGGUGGAAUUCUUGGUGUAGGGGUAAAAUCCGUAGAGAUCAAGAGGAAUACU